rnacentral:tRNA from 1 species
GGGUUGUUAGCUCAGUUGGUAGAGCAGCGGACUCUUAAUCCGUUGGUCCAGGGUUCGAACCCCUGACAACCUACCA